rnacentral:ncRNA from 1 species
AGGUCGGGAGACUUUCCUUGGGAAGAAAGUCAGGAAUUGACCUUCACUGUCGUCUCAACUUUACCCGCCACUGGGUCCCCGACAGUGUGUGGA